rnacentral:rRNA from 1 species
AGCGAACGUUUGCGGCGGGCUUAACACAUGCAAGUCGAACGAGAAUCCCUUCGGGGAGGAAAGUGGCGCACGGGUGCGUAACACGUGGAUAACCAACCCAUUGGUUUGGGACAACACCGGGAAACUGGUGCUAAUACCAGAUGUGUCGCAGCUGUCUUCAGGCGGUUGCGAGAAAGGCCCGCAAGGGUCGCCAACGGACGGGUCCGCGUCCCAUCAGCUAGUUGGUGAGGUAAUGGCUCACCAAGGCAAAGACGGGUAGCUGGUCUGAGAGGAUGAUCAGCCACACUGGAACUGAGACACGGUCCAGACUCCUACGGGAGGCAGCAGUGGGGAAUAUUGCGCAAUGGGCGAAAGCCUGACGCAGCCACGCCGCGUGAGCGAUGAAGGUCUUCGGAUCGUAAAGCUCUGUGGGGGGAGAAGAAGAAAGCCGGUGAAGAGCCGGCCCUGACGGUAUCCCCUUAGCAAGCACCGGCUAACUCCGUGCCAGCGGCCGCGGUAAAGUAGUCG